rnacentral:tRNA from 1 species
CCGCCCUUAGCUCAGUGGAUCAGAGCACCUGACUUCGGAUCAGGGGGCCGCGGGUUCGAAUCCUGCAGGGCGGG